rfam:Staphylococcus sp. HGB0015 genomic scaffold aczIz-supercont1.1, whole genome shotgun sequence.
CGCACGCACUAGGGGUGUGAAAGCUGAGAUGAGGAUAAGCCUCGAACCCUUUGAACCUGAACUAGAUGAUACUAGCGUAGGAAAGUGUUUCAUUUAUAAU